UCAUUGCCAUUUCUAAAUGAAACAAUAAGUAAGUAAGGAUUGCGAUCACACGCAAGGGAUGUGUAAUUCAUUUUUCUUUUCAUCUUUACAAGAUUCGUGGGGAUAGAGACGCGUCCCUUACCGAUCUUAGGUGGCAAGGGCUUUGGAACGAGGAUUAGUCGAUAAAUCAGCACUAACUAACUAAGAGCUAAGCUUGAGGAAAUUAUAGAGCUUCGAAUCAAAAACCACAACAAUGAUAACUGUAACUGCAAAGGAAAAGAAACAAAAAAACACUAAGUGUGACAUCGAAAUGACGUCAAAAGGAGCACAGAAUUGUAACCGAGCCUCAAAACAGAGCUUGAUUAGCGGAACGCGGAGGAGCGUGUGACAGUUUGCCACAGUGAAGCAGCUGACUUUUUCUCGAUUCCGAAAUAUUUCCGUGUAACCCCGUACCAAUCAAGAACAAAGCUGUAGUCCCAAAGAGAUGGAUCAACGGAAGACUCCAGUUGAACAGAAGGAUGACGAGAUUGAACAUAUACAUGGAACUAUAAUUGAAGAGGAAUUGUUCAACAUGCAAGAAAUAACACAGAAACUGGAAGAUAUAAAAGUGCUAUUGUCCUUACUGCUGCUGUGUCUCCACCUUCACAGCAAUGCUCCCUUUGAGAGUGACUAGACUUAAAAAAAAUUUGGCAAAGAAUUAGUCAGAUUGAUAUCAAAAUUGUAGAUGGCCUUGCUGCAUAGAAAUAUUUACUAAGCCUUAUUAUUUAGUUGUCAAAAAUGCCCAAUUAGCAUUUUCUGUAAUGAUUUUAAUGAUUAAAAUUGUUUGACAAGCCAAAGGCUUUCAUUUGUAUGUACAUGUAUUAUCCAUAAAGUAUAAGCCACUUUUGUAUGGCUCAGCUUUGAAGUAAUCUUCUUUUUGAGUCUCGCAAACUAUAAAGUGUUUUUUAGUAGUUUUUGCUGCCAUGAUUUUACAGAUUGUAUUUAUGACCAGCGCAAGGCUGUCAUUUGUUUGUACAGUCAAUAAACUAUGGCUUUGAAGUAAUCUUUUGUCAGUGUCAUGAACUGUAAGUUAGUUAGUUAAUAUACUUUUUAGAGGUUUUUGCUGC